GUUAGCUCUUUUGAAGACAUCUUCUUGGGUGCACCAGUGCAGCAGAGGAAAAGGGAAGCAAAAAGCAGCUAGGCUCCAGCUGUACAGGGGGGGGGCAAACGAGAUAGGUUCUUGGGUCCCAGGUGCUGCCCAUGGCUGGGACCCGCAGCUGGGUUUCUGCAGCACACAGGAUCCAUCCCAGCCACUGCCUCAUGCAGCAGCUGCGUAACUACCUUGAUAUUUUGGCAUUAUAUAUAUAUAUUUAUUUAUUUAUUUAUUUAUUUUUCCUGAAGCAAAUCUUCCACUUCUGUUGUUAUCUGCUUCUUACAUGUUAUGCUAUUAGGAUUUGCAUUUACAGGAGACCUACAAACAGACAUAUCAGCAUGGAUGAUUCAAGGGAGGGUUGAAACAGUAGAGAAAUUCCCUGUCGGUGUAGCUUCAGCCCUGCUGAGCACACGGGGCAGCACAGCCAGAGCAGGCGGGGCUGGUGCUGACCAGCACCAUGAGUAGAAAUCCCAGAAUGGGCUCACAACGUUACUGCCCCAAGGUACUGCUGGCUGUGGGCUGCAGGAUCAUCCCACAGAACUUUAUGGGUAGCAUCACUGUGAAGGUCUGCAGGAGACACAGACAAUCAUCCAUCUGUAGCAGACUGAGGUAACCUCCUGACAACCCCACCAGGAAGGAUGCUCCUUCAGCUGCUGCUUGGCCAGCUGCGACAUUGCCAAACCGCUCCACACAGAUGACUCAGGACAAAUGACAAAAGCAAACUUUUGAAUUCUAUAAUACUUCCAUUGAGCUGAUCAAAAUCUCCUGCAUAAUGUGAAGAUAAACUCAGAACUUCAUAGAGAGAUUUGUCCGGCUAAGAGACAUCCUACCAACUGGGAGAUGUAUUUGGGAGAGAAAAUGUUGCAUGAAACCUACCACACCUGUGGCAAGUGAUGUCAUAUGUGAUAUGCAUGAGGACCAUCCUUUCUGUCCUGCUUUAUGUGGUCUUGUUAGACAAGUAUGUAGAUAUGUUUAGCUGAAAAGGGUUCUGAAGUGUCCAGUGAAAGCUGCUUAUGGUCCUGAAGCCUCUACUCCUGCUUAGCCCCUGUCCGUGGGCACUAACUGCUCCUCUGCCCACUCCAGCACUGUCUUUCUCGACCAUGAGGACUGAUAAAACAGUGACACAGUACUUGGAUGUAGAUUUA